GGUACCGCAUUAAAACAAGAGUUCCGUGGGCCGCUUUGUCCGCGCGUGAUGAAUGGGAUAUUCGCGAAACGCCGCGGGCGAAAUUUGUUUCCGAUAGCGUUCGAUUAGAUAAAUCGUCGGCGAAUUUUUUACUCGCGAUCGCGUCGCGGUGGUGCGCCAGUGAAUUAUGGCAACCUACGACGGUGUUUUCGAGCCUGCGUCUUCUUGGUCCUGGCACGCGGUUGUUUCGUUAUUCGACGAAUUCUGGCCAGUUCGGAUAACGGAGGUGCCGAUGUCCCAUGGAGUCAACUCGGGGCACUAUCUUGGGCUAGCUAAGGACAAUGGGGCGAGAAAUACUGCUACGGGCCCAUCAGAAGAUGCGAUGUAGAACUGUUGGAGUAUCCCCUAGAAUUGACUGUUCAGCUAGGUCUAAUUGUGAUCAGCUAAUUCGGAGUAUACCAGUUGCAGUAUCCCCUUAAAAUGAUCCUCUACGUAGACCUAAAUCUAAUCAAUUAAGUCACAGUAGAAUUGUUAAAGUAUCCUCUAAAAAUGAUCCUUUAUCUGGACCUAAAGCUGAUCCAUUAAAUCACAGCAGAAUUGUUAAAGUA